GCAUCAAUAGUUUAAGGGUAGAAUAUUAGCCUUCCAAGCUGAUGGCCAGGGUUCGAGUCCCUGUUGAUGCA
rfam:Absidia glauca strain CBS 101.48 genome assembly, contig: contig_10934